UACGUAGGGUGCGAGCGUUGUCCGGAAUUAUUGGGCGUAAAGGGCUCGUAGGCGGUUUGUCACGUCGGGAGUGAAAACUCGGGGCUCAACCCCGAGCCUGCUUCCGAUACGGGCAGACUAGAGGUAUGCAGGGGAGAAUGGAAUUCCUGGUGUAGCGGUGAAAUGCGCAGAUAUCAGGAGGAACACCAAUGGCGAAGGCAGCUCGCUGGGACGGUACUGACACUGAGACGCGAAAGCGUGGGGAGCAAACAGG
rnacentral:rRNA from 1 species